rnacentral:lncRNA from 1 species
GUGGUGACGACAACUUUUCCGAGAAACACAACCAACUAGCAUGCCAUUUAUUCGUGCAAGAUAGAAAUAGACCCAAAUUUGCAAAUCCCUGCCCAAAUAUUGAUCCUUCCUUGACGAUUUGAAAUCAAUGAAUAUUUAAAAGCUAGGAAGAAUGGAGAUGAAGCAAGACAUUGAACUUGACUGAACAAAGGACGAGUUUGAGCCGCAUUAAAGUGAGAAUGCACGAAUUAGGACUAUGUAUAAGGCCAACAACUUAUUGGCAUUUCGCUCACGUCGACUUCGAGACACAAAAAAAGCCGCAAGACAACUAAACAAAACGGGUAUUAAUACGGAUUGUUUACAACGACGGCAAGUAUUUGACAGACUAACUUAAGCCUUUCUUAAUAUGGAAAUGAUGCUCAAUCAUUUGCAAUCAAAUUUUCAUCCAUUUUUCGUUUACUACUUCAUAGGGAAGAUGGCUCAUUAGAGUACGGAGUUUACAGCUAGUAAGAAUUGAGGUCCCUCAGUGCUUCGUGAUCGUCCCGCAAUAACAAGGAAGCCCAGCUCACAAGUGAAUCAAAAGUGUCGUCCAAGUCGGGAAAAAAUAUCUGCGUCUGAUCUGCAUCAAGUAGUUGUAAGACUCAAGUGUACUGAGCUACUGGAAUCCUGUCGCUGGUUUCUCCCUAACUCGCACAAGUGAUGCCAUCUCUUAAUUGUGUUCAUUCAGUUGCUGCUGGAUAUGCUCAUAAUUAUCAUAAUUAGCGAAAAGAUUGGUGGCAGAAUUGAUGCCGAAAUUCGUGACUGGCCUUUCAUGGUAGCCCUAAAAAGAAGUGCGGCGGAGCUUUGAUUAGUGACUCUAACGUCCUGUUGGUGGCCUAUUGCAUGGAAAAAAUAUCUAUUUGAGAUGUCUGGUGGGAUGACGAGGAAAA